rnacentral:lncRNA from 1 species
AUUCAUUCUGGCUCCUGGUCCCAGCCCCAGCCCCAAAUUCUGGGGGUCGGUGGUGUUUGCUUUGCUCUUAAGCAAAGGGUCUAAGGCCAAGCCUUCCUCCCUCCCUCCUGUGUGCAGGAGUUAGUUACAACCCCACAGCUUGCACGAGUUCUCAGGGAUUCAGAGGCAGCACCCAGGACCUGCUUUAGGAGCUCCCUGCCCAUCCGAUGGGGGAGGCAGCCUGGGCGGAGCAUCCCGAGAGAGCCCCGAACCCGUGGGAGGUGGGAGGCCUCGCCUGUGGAUGUGGCCCCAUCUGCUGCCGAUGGCUGGCCCAGGCCCUGUGAGUGGUGCCGUCUGUGCAGGGACCCAAGGGCAGGAAGUUGGAGCGGAGGAGCCAGGCAGGCAGGCUCCGGAGAGUUCCGCACGCUGCGGAAAGGCUUCUCGCCCUACCACUCGGAGUCCCAGCUUGCGUCCCUGCCGCCCUCCUACCAGGACUCCCUGCAGAACGGCCCGGCCUGCCCCGCACCUGAGCUGCCCUCGCCCCCCUCUGCUGGCUACAGCCCUGCAGGACAGAAGCCCGAGGCUGUCGUGCAUGCCAUGAAGGUCCUGGAGGUACACGAGAAUCUGGACCGGCAGCUCCAGGACAGCUGUGAGGAGGACCUGAGUGAGAAGGAGAAGGCCAUCGUUCGCGAGAUGUGCAACGUGGUCUGGAGAAAGCUGGGAGAUGCAGCCAGCUCCAAGCCCUCCAUACGGCAGCACCUGUCUGGGAACCAGUUCAAGGGGCCUUUGUAGGGCCACUCUUCUGUGGACGUGGACUGGCCCUGCUGGGGGUCCCCAGGGGGAGUUUCAGGCCCCAGACACGGGCAGGACCUCCAGCCCAGCCCCUGUCUUCUUCCUCUGUGGUGAACUGUACAUAGGACGCUGCCCGCCCUGGCCCAGCUGCCAUGGGUC